CUGAAGGCUAUAAAAGCACAAGUCCGGGCUUCGGCAGCCACCAGGCACCUGCAUCUACCAACGGGACCGGGAGCAGGUCUCCGAGCCGACACCACCUGGGCUGGCUACCUGGAAGGGAAAGAAAUGGGAUUCCUAAGAGUCAGAAGAACAGAGACCGAGGGGUGUGAGAGAAGCCCGGGAGGAAAACGGGGACGCCAGGCAAGUUUUCUGCUGCGCCGAGGCCGAGGCCAGCUCUCCGCCCACUGCAGGAGCGAAUCCCCCGCGUUUCAGCAGCGAGAUCCUGGACAGCGCCGCGCGCUCGGUUUCAACACCGGGGCUGCGGACAGCGCCUCGGCCGUCCGGGCGCGGGAAGGCGCGGCCUUUCUCCCGGA